GAGUGCAAACAUAUUACAACUCCUCUAAUUCUCUCUCCUUCGCACACUCUGCAAGUUCAAUGAGUUUUACAAUUCGUCUGGGCUUCUUUGGAUCCUUUGAGUAAUUAAAUGGGAGUUGACAUGGCAAUACGACCCAUUAAAAUAUAAGUUACCUAUGCAUGGCUUCAUUUAGAUGAAACCAUCCCAAAGGGCCAGGAUAAGAGCUUGGGGAAGGAGAUCUACAAGUGUUAAGAAGUCAAUUUUUGCUCCAUGCUGGUUCCAAUUUCGUAUUUUAUAUGCAGGUAUUGUUAAUAUAUCUAUAGAAGGGAAAUAACAUGUGAUGAACAACAAGAGCAAGAGCCAUCAAGAGGGGCUUGGAACUUUUAUAGAGAGUAAAUAGCUCAUUAGAAUCCUAUGUUGAAAUAGAUUUUCGGCUUGAUAUUUUUGAAAACAAGUUGUAUCCAUCUUCCUUUGAUGAUAAAUUGAUCACAUUACUGAAGGAUAAACUUGGGAUAAGAAAACUCUAAUGCUACUUGAUUGAUGCCUUUUAUAAUGUAUCUGCUAGCUGAUUUUUGGAGUCCUUUAUAUAUAACUUUGCAGCUUAUGAUGCUUCAUUUUGGACAAUAUUAUUGUUCAUAUCGUCCAGAUUCCACAGACAUCAUUAUGACUAACAACAAAUUUUUCGGCUAUUAUAAAAAGAUACUUUUUACCUGUUAAUGAGAACUCUAAUUUUUUUGCUGAUUAAUUAUAGAAGAAAGAGGUAAACAUGUAGUAAUAAUUUAGUACCUACAAUUCAAUCAAGUUAGUUUUACCUUAUUUGUGAUUAGUGUAUCUUUUUUAUAUGUGAAAUAUAGCUGAGCAACUUUUAAUGUACUUUUCCUGUUUAUUUGAAAACAUCUUCAUAAGUUUAGCCAUUUUUAUAGGAGUUUCCUCUAUACUUCGCUAUGGCAUAAACUGCAAUACGCCUCGGAUUGUUCAAUAAAAUUUUGAUUUGAUUUCUCAUUUCAUCAAAUAAAUCUUUGUGCUAAUAGAUACUAUAUUUUGAUUAAGAGUAUAGAGUUCUUAUGAACUCCUUUGAGAUGAAAAAACCUUUUGUUUAUUUUUUAAUUAGCAGUUAUGAUUUCCUUGCUUGCUUACUCAGUAGUUAUUAGUGUCA